CCCCGUGUGCGUGUACCGUCCCCUGGGGGCAGGGAGGGGGGUGCUGGGCGAGCAGUGGUGGGAACAGAGAACCCUGAGUCCAGGUUCUGGGUGGCAGUUUAGAACAAGCCAGCCAUGUUCUCGUCCUCCAGCGUUAAUAUCGAGUGCUGACCAUGAGGGAGGCACAGUGCCUGGGAAACACCAGGGACCCAAGACUCCUGCCCUACGUGGUUGGCCUUCUAGUGGGAGGAAAAACAGCAAACUCUACACCUAACAUACGGUUCCUGGUGCACAGCUCUUAAAACCCUCAGAAACGACUGUUUCUCACACACAGAAGAGAUGACGCACAUCGGGGACAGGGCGCUGGUAGCUUCAAAAUGGGGGCCAGUCUCUAGAAAGACCACCCACCAUGUACGUUGGAGGUCGGAUCUCGCCGCUGCUCUGUAUCACCCAACCCUACCUCUGUGGGGGGAGCAGGGCUGCAGACCAAGUGCGAUCGCCAGUAGCCAAUGACUGGACGGCUAGAGCAAACCAUGUCUGCUUAACGUUCAACCCUGGCCACUCAGAAGGCGGUUCCGGGACCAGCAGCAGCAUCCGGAUGGCCGGUCAGGACCGCGGAACCUAAGGCACCAGUCCAGACCUGGUGAAUCAGAGCGCGCAUUUCAUAACCCCCAGCUGGGCCAUAGGACAAAAAGUGUGAGGCGUCCUGCAAGCAGCACGCGGCUCUCAGAUGGACAUGAUGAUGGCCGUCACUGCACCUGGGAACCCAAGGUAUAGACUUCGGUCACCCCUCUUGGGUGGCCGGAAAUAUAGCUCAGCUUGCUUUUCCCGUGCAUUUUUGUUUCGAU